AAAAGAAAAAAACAAAUAGUGCUUUGACAUCAUUGCCUUGUAGUAAAUCUGAUCCAUCCAAAGCCAAAUAAAAAAAAGAAAAGAAAAAGAAAGGCAAGGCAAAAGAAGAAGAAACCGAUCUUGGCCUUGUCUGCUUCUGUUGCUUGAACUUUAAUACCAAAAAACCAGUGAUGUACUUUUCUUAUAAAAACACCACAAAAUUUUCAUCUCCAAACCCUAACCUGAGAAUUAACUUGAAACCCAACCAUUGAAAAAAGAACAAAAGAGGAAGAGAAGGAAG
rnacentral:lncRNA from 1 species